GAUGAACGCUGGCGGCGUGCCUAAUACAUGCAAGUCGAGCGAACGGACGAGAAGCUUGCUUCUCUGAUGUUAGCGGCGGACGGGUGAGUAACACGUGGAUAACCUACCUAUAAGACUGGGAUAACUUCGGGAAACCGGAGCUAAUACCGGAUAAUAUUUUGAACCGCAUGGUUCAAAAGUGAAAGACGGUCUUGCUGUCACUUAUAGAUGGAUCCGCGCUGCAUUAGCUAGUUGGUAAGGUAACGGCUUACCAAGGCAACGAUGCAUAGCCGACCUGAGAGGGUGAUCGGCCACACUGGAACUGAGACACGGUCCAGACUCCUACGGGAGGCAGCAGUAGGGAAUCUUCCGCAAUGGGCGAAAGCCUGACGGAGCAACGCCGCGUGAUUGAUGAAGGUCUUCGGAUCUUAAACCUCUGUGAUUAGGGAAAAACAUAUGUGUAAGUAACUGUGCACAUCUUGACGGUACCUAAUCAGAAAGCCACGGCUAACUACGUG
rnacentral:rRNA from 1 species